rnacentral:rRNA from 1 species
UACAGAGGGGGCAAGCGUUGUUCGGAAUUACUGGGCGUAAAGGGCGCGUAGGCGGCCUUCUAAGUCGAACGUGAAAUCCCUCGGCUCAACCGGGGAACUGCGUGUGAUACUGGCGGGCUUGAAUUCGGGAGAGGGAUGUGGAAUUCCAGGUGUAGCGGUGGAAUGCGCAGAUAUCAGGAAGAACACCGGUGGCGAAGGCGGCUCUCUGGGCCUUACCUGACGCUGAGGAGCGAAAGCGUGGGUAGCGAACAGG